rnacentral:lncRNA from 1 species
GAGAGGUGAUUAAGCAGGAUAUUGCAAGGCUUUAGAUGUCUGAGGACAUGAUACUUUAUAAGAAGAUGUGGAGGUCGAGUAUAGAAUUGCAUGUUAGGAUGUAGUUGAGUCUUGCCUUACAUUGUACAUUGUGAGACAAUUUGGUACGGUCUUUGUCGAACAUAGCUAGUGGCAAAUUUGUGUCUUACUAUUUUGCUUUUCAG